UGGGGAAUAUUGGACAAUGGGCGCAAGCCUGAUCCAGCCAUGCCGCGUGAGUGAUGAAGGCCCUAGGGUUGUAAAGCUCUUUCACCGGUGAAGAUAAUGACGGUAACCGGAGAAGAAGCCCCGGCUAACUUCGUGCCAGCAGCCGCGGUAAUACGAGGGGGGCUAGCGUUGUUCGGAUUUACUGGGCGUAAAGCGCACGUAGGCGGACUUUUAAGUCAGGGGUGAAAUCCCGGGGCUCAACCCCGGAACUGCCUUUGAUACUGGAAGUCUUGAGUAUGGUAGAGGUGAGUGGAAUUCCGAGUGUAGAGGUGAAAUUCGUAGAUAUUCGGAGGAACACCAGUGGCGAAGGCGGCUCACUGGACCAUUACUGACGCUGAGGUGCGAAAGCGUGGGGAGCAAACAGG
rnacentral:rRNA from 1 species